rnacentral:rRNA from 1 species
CUUUCUUUGCUGGCGACCGGCGCACGGGUGAGUAACACGUAUCCAACCUGCCCUUUACUCGGGGAUAGCCUUUCGAAAGAAAGAUUAAUACCCGAUAGUAUAAUGAUUCCGCAUGGUUUCAUUAUUAAAGGAUUCUGGUAAAGGAUGGGGAUGCGUUCCAUUAGGUUGUUGGUGAGGUAACGGCUCACCAAGCCUUCGAUGGAUAGGGGUUCUGAGAGGAAGGUCCCCCACAUUGGAACUGAGACACGGUCCAA